AACGAACGCUGGCGGCGUGGAUAAGACAUGCAAGUCGAACGGGAUUCCUUUCGGUAGCAAUACUGAGAGGGAUUCAGUGGCGAACGGGUGCGUAACACGUGGGGAAUCUGCCGAGAAGUGGGGGAGUAGCUCGUCGAAAGGACGAAUUAAUACCGCAUAUGAUCAGGAAGACAUCUUUCCAACAUCAAAGACCGGGGCAACCUGGCGCUUCUUGAUCGACCCCGCCGGCCA
rnacentral:rRNA from 1 species